GGGAGGUGACAGUUGAUAGUUGUGAAAGUUGUUGUCUCUGAGAUUCGUGAAACACGCCGCUUUUUAGAAUGCCUCUGAAAGAACAAAGAAGUCACUGGCACUCGACUAUAAUAUGCUAAAAAGUUUCUGGUUCCAACAGCACACAGCCAGCAUCAGCCAUUUAAAGUUUUGGCAACUGAAACUAUAAGUCACAAGGCAUUAGAUGCAGAUAUAUACAGUGCAAUUCCAACAGAAAAAGUGGAUGGAACAUGUUGUUAUGUUACUACCUAUAAAGAUCAGCCAUACCUUUGGGCUCGACUAGAUAGAAAACCCAACAAACAAGCUGAAAAAAGAUUUAAAAAUUUUCUACAUUCAAAAGAAAACCCAAAAGAAUUUUUUUGGAAUGUUGAGGAGGACUUCAAACCAGCUCCAGAGUGCUGGAUACCAGCAAAGGAGACAGAACAAAUAAAUGGGAACCCAGUGCCUGAUGAAAAUGGACACAUUCCUGGUUGGGUACCAGUGGAGAAAA
rnacentral:sRNA from 1 species